rnacentral:rRNA from 1 species
ACGUAGGGAGCAAGCGUUGUUCGGAUUUACUGGGCGUAAAGGGCGCGUAGGCGGCCUGUCAAGUCAACUGUGAAAUCUCCGGGCUUAACUCGGAACGGUCAGUUGAUACUGUCAGGCUAGAGUGCAGAAGGGGCAAUCGGAAUUCUUGGUGUAGCGGUGAAAUGCGUAGAUAUCAAGAGGAACACCUGAGGUGAAGACGGGCUGCUGGGCUGACACUGACGCUGAGGCGCGAAAGCCAGAGGAGCAAACGGGA